AGUGAACGCUGGCGGUAGGCCUAACACAUGCAAGUCGAACGGCAGCACAGGAGAGCUUGCUCUCUGGGUGGCGAGUGGCGGACGGGUGAGGAAUACAUCGGAAUCUACUUUUUCGUGGGGGAUAACGUAGGGAAACUUACGCUAAUACCGCAUACGACCUACAGGUGAAAGCAGGGGAUCUUCGGACCUUGCGCGAUUGAAUGAGCCGAGGUCGGAUUAGCUAGUUGGCGGGGUAAAGGCCCACCAAGGCGACGACCCGUAGCUGGUCUGAGGGGAUGAUCAGCCACACUGGAACUGGGACACGGUCCAGACUCCUACGGGAGGCAGCAGUGGGGAAUAUUGGACAAUGGGCGCAAGCCUGAUCCAGCCAUACCGCGUGGGUGAAGAAGGCCUUCGGGUUGUAAAGCCCUUUUGUUGGGAAAGAAAUUCAGCUGGUUAAUACCCGGUUGGGAUGACGGUACCCAAAGAAUAAGCACCGGCUAACUUCGUGCCAGCAGCCGCAGUAA
rnacentral:rRNA from 1 species